GAGAAUGUGACUUAGUGGUAGAGUGUUUGCCUUGCAUGCAAGAGGCUGUCUUUUCUCU
rnacentral:tRNA from 1 species